rnacentral:misc_RNA from 1 species
CGUGCGUCUGUCGGUGCAUCGACUGAGCGCAAACAAAGAGCACCCGAUCACCAGGAAGACGACCGCCCUCACCACGCGGCGGCCCGUCCGACUCUUUCUUCCGCUUCCGUUCUCGUACAACAUCUUGCAGUACGUCUAUCCGCAGACCAACACGCAAAGAGAGAAGAGGCGGCUCAGCAUCGAUUUCUUCAGCGGCUUACUUGAGGCGCGGCAGCGGACAACUGCGACACUGGCGCUCCGCUUGUGCUGAACGCUGUCUCGUCCGCCUUUAUAUAUACACACAAAUCCUUGUUGUUCGUGUGCUCUUGACGGGCUCUAGACGAGCCUACCGCUCGCUUCCUUCUCUCGCUACCCCUGCCACCCACUCAAUAGCGCAUCUGCGGUGCAAGCCCACGCUGCCAUUUUCUUUGGUUGCUUUCUCGCCUCGAAGGCCACUCUCCUGCCCCCGUGCCCUCCCCUCUCUCAUUAUGGGCGCCUUUGCUUUGUGUUUGGAGAGCGCGGCACGCGACAUUCGAUCGCUGCUCACGCUGCAUCGCGUGCAUCCGCAGGUGCGCAGCGACAUUCAGCGCAUUCUUGGCAGUCUUCUCCGAAAGAACUAUGAGAACAUGACGGUGCCCUUACCGAUGGACCUGAUCGAUCCCCCGGAGCAGGUGUGCCGGGAGCUGGUGAAUGGCAUCGUGGAGGACGCCUUCAAGACAGCACUUCCGGCGUCCGACAUGCGCGCCUUGGAGCGCCGUUGUGUCGAGCUCCAGCAGGACAAUGCCGAGUUGAAGGCCGCUGCCGACAAUGCUGACGAAAGCGUCAUGGAGUUGCGGGAAGUGCUGUCGGAUCUCAAGAGGGCACACGAAUACAUGCUUCAUAGCUACUUUAGGGAGGUCCUGAUGCUGCGCUGCCGCAUCGACGAUCUUCAGCGACAGCUUCGCACUCGCCGACUGCACUCCAUGACUCUCGCGCCCCUUCUCGGUGGCAGCGCUGCGCAGCUUAUCCCCACAGUAGAGUCUCAAUUGCAGCACUUCCUCGUCAACACAAGCGUAGCCACGGGGCAGGGCGAGCCGGCGAGCCAGUCGUCGACGUCGCCACCCAGGACACCGCUGCCGCCGAGCGGGUCAUCGGACGAGGAAUCAGAAGCGGAUGAUGGCCCCGUGCGUCGGCGGAUCUCGACUCAUAUCAGCCAUCGCGGAGAAGGGCGUGACGCUGACGCGCAAGCACAAACAAGACCGCCCGCGCUGGGGGCGGCUACAGUCGGCGCUGCGCCGGCAGCACCACCCGAUGCAAAGGGGUGGUCCGCGACGCCUCACCCGAAACACAAAGGCUACAGUAUCCGCAUCAACGUCCCGAUAGGCACUGCUGCUCGCGCGCGGACGCCGGGGUCACCGCGCAGUGCGACGGCUCAGAAGACGACAACGUUUGAGGUGUGGAGCACGGAGACCGAUAGCGUUGACGCGAUCUUUGAUUACGAAGAGUACCUCCGCAUCCUCAACGGCGCGGAUGCUGCCUGGUUGCAGCGCUUCACGGAUGCGAUGGGUGGCUCGGAGCGCGCGAGCCCGCGGCAUCGUUGUCACUCGCUGAGUGUGCGCACUCGCACCAAAUCAAAGGUGAGCUUCCUCUCCGGCAGCCUAGCCUCAAACCCCGACGACCCCUCGUCUUCUGCGGCGCUUUCGAAGGAGGGGGCGAACGCCAACGGGUUCCGCUGGUUGUUGCACCUCGCCCUGGAGCCGAUCAAGCACAAAUUUCACAUGGAGCUGGACCAGCUGCGGCAGGCGGUUCAAACCAUGCAACGGGAGCACGCAGACCAGGUGCAGCUGAUUGAGCGCGCACUCUCGACCGUGCAGAGCCGCAACGAUGCAUUGCUCGACUUCAUCAACACGUUUGCGCAGCAGGCUCGGCAAACCUUGGUGGUGGUGGCUCGUGACGUGCAGGCGCGGAGCAUGGUGGAGCUCCUGUCCAGUGGUGCGCUGCCGGUUGCAGCGGCUGAGACGGUCGCGUCCUUUUUCACUCCCGCCGCGUCAGCGGAGACGCCACCUGGGCGGCCGUCUACAUCCUCGGCGGCGGCCUCGCCGCUACCCCACACAGAGUCGGCUCAGGCGCCAUCGGCGUCGCACUUGCUUCGCAACAAGAAGUGGCGCCUGAAGGCAGGCGUGGCGCUUGAGGCGCAGGAGCAGGCGUCAAUGAUGGCCGCCAUGAAUCACCGGCUGGGAAAGGCCGGCUCGGUGGAGGUGAGGUGCAGCAUGCCGCAUGCCCCUACGAAUGCUGCCGAGGAGGUGAACUACUACCGCGCCGACCUCGGUCUUCCCUACUGGUGCUCGCACCCGGUCACCGUACACGCACGAAAAAUGUUUGACGAGCUGCAAGAGAUCGCCGCUUCGAUUCGCGCAACGCGGGUGAUGCAUUUCUUGGCAUCCGAGGAGAGCGCUGGCGGUGACGGGCGUCGAGUGCGGUGGAAGGUCCGAGGCACCACAGACUCGAGCGGACGCAAUGACGGCUACCACCGCGGCUGCAACUCCCCGCCUCCGCUGUUAAAGGACCGCGAUAGCUCUUCCUUCUACUAUUUCCGCGACUGCGACGUGGACGGAGACAGCGCGCUUCGGCACUUGGCAGCGCAUCGCCGGCAGCGGGAAGAGUGGCUCACGGCGCCCGUCAGUGGGGCGGACGGGCAAACGGCCGCAGACUUGCUACGUGAACUGGCAGGUCUGCGCAUGCGCCGUGCAAGUGACCGGAAGCGACUAAAGGUGGUGCAGGCAUCGCUGCCGCAGCAGCUCACGAAAGCCGCCGCUGCUUCUGACAUGGCGGAGGAGGCCGCUGGGGCAAAGGGGAUGACGAAAGGAGCCCGCGCCGGCGCCACAGACCCUGAGCCGGAGUCGCCGGACCUGCACUUCUUGUCUCCAGAAGCGCUGCUGAGGGCUUGCGCGCUGCAGCGGCUCGGCAGGCGAACGCAGCAGCGGCUGAUGCAGACGUCGCAGCGCAUUGCCGAGCUUCAGCGACUGCUGGACUUGCACUUUGGCCAUUGCCAGCUGAAGGACUCCGAGGACUCGCUCUCGUGGGAGACGGCGCGGAGGGUGGCGGCUGAGGGGUCACAGGGGCUGCUCGGCGCCAAUGGCACAUUACACUUGGCGGGCCAUUUGUGGAGCUCUCCCUACUUAAACGACACCGUCCUGGAUGCGAACGCUCAGCAGCAUCAGCAGAGGGGCACCUGCGCCGGCUACUCUCGUGGACAGCUGAUGUAUCUUCCGAUAGGGCUGGCGGGGGCGCGAGACGCAGAUGGCAACAGCAGCGGUGGGGCUGGAGCGUAUUUCAUGCUUGACGGGUCUGUCAUCUCCGCCGCGCCGUUCGCCCCAUUCUCGACGGCGGCAAGCAAGGGUGGCCAGGGCAGCAACGAAGAAUCGGAGCGGCCUGCGAUGCCGGAUCGCAUUACUCCGUUUGUGGCGGUUAUGGAGUACUGCCGAGGCGUGCAGAUGGGCCGCCCGCUUGGUCGGCGCGCCGGGCCCGUGUAUCUCUUCCAGGACCAUGAAAGCGGUGACUACUACGUCGGUGAUCAGGCUGGCCGCAACGUGCUAAAGGCGGAUGACGACACCGCUGGCGAUGCGGUCGGCAUACGAGCAGAGGCGGACACGCAACGGUCGCUGCUGCCCAUGACGCGCAUUUUGUUCCCAGCGCCGAUGCAGUUUACCGUGGCCGACGCUUCUUCUGUCGCGUCUUCUGUGGCGGCAUCUGCUGCAGCGAGCACGGCACUUCACCCCAUCUAUCUUGUGCCCAUGGCGAUUCCUCUCUCGGACGAAGAGGCAGUGAUACAGGAGGGCUGGCAGGCGUGCCACCGACACGGACACACACGUCGCGAUCCCAUCUACUACACGACAAUGGCACCCCUUCCACUCUCGAAAUCGUAUCAUCACGUUGUGCCACAGCCAGGAAACGCCGACGCCGUCGCUCUUGCGGAGGCGGCAGCUGACGCGGCCGCCGUUUCGCACAAUGGCGACAGCAAUGCACCUGUGAACCAUUACCUUCGCAGCCCACCUUGCGUGUUCCAGCCGGCUGACGAGGCCGCUGCAAUGAUGCGCGUGCGCUCCUUGCAGCUCCAGCAGCGCCGAGGUGCUAAUAAAUCUUUUCCUGAUACCGCGGCGGUGGACAGCAGCGCCGCUUGCGCGCGUUCCGGCCUCCUAUCGCCAGACGUCACAGCGAGCUCGGCCGUGACCCCGACAUCCACGUUACCGUCUUCAGUGGGCCCUCUCUCCGGCUAUGCUCUCUCUUCCCCCGAAGCGCAUCUCCUCGGUGCGGUGCCGUUGCUUGCCGCUGACUGGCAAGGGAGUCGAGGCCCAGUGGCAGCCGCGCCGCUUCCUGGCAGCUCCAGCAACCACGCUGCCGUACCGUUAGCGCUGUCUCCCUCCACAGAGCCUGUCACCACGCUGACUAAAACGGGGCACGACGGCGUGCCACCCCUCACCAAGCUCGUGCCUCACACCUCUGCUGCUGCAGCGGCGGCGGCGCCAGUAUCUUCCGCCACGAGCUUCUCCCCUCCCCUUGCUGCAGCACUGGUGCUGGCGAAGGAGCGGCGUAACGCGAGGCUUGCCGAGGAGGCAGAGCGUGCCGCACAGGCAAAGACGCUUCGGCAGGAGUCGCUGCGAAAUCGAACUCUGACGCGCGCGGCACCGAACAAGGAGACUGACGUUCCACGCGUUCCGCCGCACCGUCUCGCCCCCCUCAUCGGCAAGCACCCAGGUGACGAGGCGUCGCCCAUGCUACCCCUCCCCGUUGACUCUGCAAGACUGCAGAGUCAGAUGCGUCCGGAAAAGUGGGCACUGACGCCGCCGCCGCCGUCGCUGCGGUGGCGGGAGGUGAACGGUGGUGAACUGAAUGCCUGGAAUCUCAACAGCGACGUCGGCGACGCAGUGUAGGCCACGCCGUCCGUGUGCUUCCCUCCUUCGUGCUGCUCCACGUGCACUGCUUCAUGUGAGCGAGGGCAGUGAACAUCUUUUUCUGUCGACGGGCUUGCCUGUGCGCGCACAUCCGACUUCGCUCUCCUUUUCUCUGUGCUUAGCUGAUGUUCCAUCUCUCUCUCUCCCCGUCUGUAUGUCUCGGUUUCGCAUUCUUCGGUGCUUGCAAUGAUGUACAGAAUUGCCUCGACGGUGGGGGGGGGAAGGGAUGCCGCAGGCGACACUUGCACACGUCUUGCCGUUGGUGCCUCCGUCGCUCUUUCACGGUUGUAAAGGACAACAACAACGACACCGAAGAGGAACAGAAAAUCAGCCGGAUGCUUUAUGCUUCCUCUUUUUAGUGUUCAUUGGAAAGACGCGGUGCAUCACUUCGCCCGCCCAUCCCCCCUUCUCUGCCUGUCUCUUUUAUCUCUGGUUCUCAUUUCUGUUCUCUGCCCAUGCUUCUGCUCGUUGGGUACGUGUGCGCGUUACACUUCUGUUUUUCUUGCUCGUUUUCUUCGUUUCCCUUUUCCUUGGUGCGCGUUAUGGUGCGUGGUGCAGCCCCGCACUCCUCCGCCUCGAUAACCGCGCGCAUGCGCGGAGAACGCAACGGAGAAGGUGAGCCCAGAAAGAACGAGAGAAACUACGCCAGCAGAGGGGUAGACCGCGUGCGCACGUGUGGAGCGCCUCGACGAAGUACAACAAGCAAGC